rnacentral:rRNA from 1 species
AUGCUGUGAGCUCGAUGAGUAGGGCGGGACACGUGGUAUCCUGUCUGAAUAUGGGGGGACCAUCCUCCAAGGCUAAAUACUCCUGACUGACCGAUAGUGAACCAGUACCGUGAGGGAAAGGCGAAAAGAACCCCGGCGAGGGGAGUGAAAAAGAACCUGAAACCGUGUACGUACAAGCAGUGGGAGCACAGGUUUACCUGUGUGACUGCGUACCUUUUGUAUAAUGGGUCAGCGACUUAUAUUCUGUAGCAAGGUUAACCGAAUAGGGGAGCCGGAGGGAAACCGAGUCUUAAUUGGGCGUUAAGUUGCAGGGUAUAGACCCGAAACCCGGUGAUCUAGCCAUGGGCAGGUUGAAGGUUGGGUAACACUAACUGGAGGACCGAACCGACUAAUGUUGAAAAAUUAGCGGAUGACCUGUGGCUGGGGGUGAAAGGCCAAUCAAACCGGGAGAUAGCUGGUUCUCCCCGAAAGCUAUUUAGGUAGCGCCUCGUGAAUUCAUCUCCGGGGGUAGAGCACUGUUUCGGCUAGGGGGCCAUCCCGGCUUACCAACCCGAUGCAAACUGCGAAUACCGGAGAAUGUUAUCACGGGAGACACACGGCGGGUGCUAACGUCCGUCGUGAAGAGGGAAACAACCCAGACCGCCAGCUAAGGUCCCAAAGUCAUGGUUAAGUGGGAAACGAUGUGGGAAGGCCCAGACAGCCAGGAUGUUGGCUUAGAAGCAGCCAUCAUUUAAAGAAAGCGUAAUAGCUCACUGGUCGAGUCGGCCUGCGCGGAAGAUGUAACGGGGCUAAACCAUG